rnacentral:snRNA from 1 species
GCUCUACUUUGGCAGUGCAGUACUGAAAUCAGAGUGAUUCAGAGAUUAGCGUGGUCCUUGCACAAGGAUGAUAUGCAAAUUUGUGAAGCAGUCCCUUUUUUA